rnacentral:tRNA from 1 species
GCCUGGGUGGCUCAGUUGGAAGCGUCUGACUUUGGCUUAGGUCAUGAUCUCAUGGUUUGUGGGUUCGAGCCCCACAUUAGGCU